GAAAAAAAAACACCAUUCUAAUACGACCCGGACUUUAAGGCACCUCCGUGUACUUUGCAAAAUGACCAUUUUUGCGACAAUAAUGACUAAGCCUUAACGCAUGUGAGCCUCGGGAGAGGAAAUGAGCAGGAGGAGUAGAGGAUUGCAAAGCAGGAGCUGUUCAGAUCUUGGGGAAUGUAAUUCCAGCAGGGCUUGAAGUUUUUGUGUUUUAAUCUCCACACCCCCCCUCCCUUCCUCCUCCUCCUCCUCCUCCUCCCUCCCCCCCCCCCCCCCCCCCCAGUGUUUGGCCUCGGUCAUUAAAAAGAGCUGGCGCGACCACGAAGAAAUAACCAGAGUCCUUUAAGCAGCGUGGUCCUAUGACUCAGGAUCCGUCAAGCGGGAGAGUCACAUUCGUGUGUGCCUGCGGUGCCAUAGAGUCUGACGGCGCAGGCUCGCAAACUUCUCAAUACAACAGGACAGCAUGUUGCUCCUUUCCUAGGCUUUCCUUUGACUAAUCUCGUCAGGGAUAAUGCUUUCCUUCUCUGCUGCACGACUGACUGUGCUGGAGGCUGAAUUAGCAAGGAUUGACAACCUGUGCAACAGUGAGCUGCAAAUGCUUCAACCAGGCUGAAAUGCAACACAAGUCAGAUGGGGCUGAGUGACCUUGAAGAUUGGAUGAAGAAAGCAACAUCAACACAUUUUCUCAAACAAGACACAUCGCAACAGUAAAUUUUAAGGAUUUGCUCUGAAAUGGAAAGGGGGGCAAGAAAGGUUAUAUACAAAAUAACAAGAGAUCAACCAUGCAAAACAACGCAAUUCAGCACAUCACAGAAACCAGCUUCCCCUCCAUGGACUGUCUACAUUUCACUGCCUCGGUAAAGCAGCCAGCAUAAUCAAAGAUCCCACGCACUUCUCUGGACAUUUCCUGGACAUUCUCUCUUCCCCUCUCCCAUCGGACAGAGGAUACAAAAGCCUGAAAAUGACAGCUGUGGCUCAUACAAACAUGCAAAUUAGGAGGAGCAAGCCUCUUGGACCUUUGAGCCUGCUCUGCCAUUCAGAAGUUCAUGGCUGAUCUGAUUACAGCCUCAUCACCACAUUCCUGCAAAUCCCUGAUAACCUUUAUCAAGAAUUGCCUGUUUUAACAAUAUUGAAAGACACUGCUUCCAAUGCCUUAUGCGGAGAGUUAAAUGAACAACUCUUAACCAAUGACCCUGUCAAAUUCACAGGAAAAAACAUCCUUUCCACAUCCAUUUUUUCACAACCUCUCAGGAUUUCGUGCUUCAAUCAAGUUACCUCAGACUCUGCCAACAUCCAACAGAUACAAGUCUAACAUGUCUGACCUUUCCACACAAGACAACUGCCCACUUCAGAUAUCAGCCCAGUGAACAUUUUCUAAACUGCUACUGGUGUAUUCACACCCUUCCUUAAAUGACGGCAAUUUGAAUGUGCAGCAACACAAGAAGCUGCGGAGAGUAGUGGACUCUGCCUAAUACAUCAUAUGCACAUCCCUCCCCACCAUUAGUAGUAUAAGAGGCGAUGCCUCAAGGUGGUAACAUCUCUUCAUCAAAGAUCCCCACCAUGCAGGCCAUGCCAUCUUCUCACAGCUACCACUGAGGUACAAAAGCCUGAAGUCCCACACCAUCAGGUUCAAGAACAACUACUUCCCUUCAACCAUACGGUCAAAAUCUCAGAGGACCUAUCCUGGGCCCAACACAUUGAUGCAAUCAUGAAGGCACACCAGUGGUGCUUUGUGAAGAGAUUUGGUAUAUCAAAGACUCUUAGUUGCAUCACAGCCUGGUAUAGAGCCUCCAAUGCACAGGAUCGCAAGAGGUUGCAGAGGAUCAUAGACUCAGCUAGCUCCAUCACAGGCACAACCCUCCGCACCAUCGAGGACACAUUCAAAUGGCAGUGCUUCAAGGCGGCAGCAUCAACAUUAAGGACCCUCACCAUCUGGUACAUGCCCUUUUCUUGUUACUACCAUUAGGGAAGUGGUACAGGAGCCUGAAGAUCCAAACUCAAUGAUUCAGGAACAGCUGCUUUCCCUCUGCCAUUAGAUUUCUGAACAAUCCAUGAACACUACCUCAAUAUUCCUUUUUUUUUGCACUUUUUUAAAAAUAAUUUAUAGAUUUAUGUCUUGCACUGUACUGCUGCUGCAAAACAUCAAAUUUCACAUCAUGUCAGUGAUAAUAAAUCUGAUUCCAAUUCUUGAACCAACUAGCAAAACCCUAAUUAUUACAGUUUAGCAACACUAUGACCACUUUGUACUAAAAUGGAUUUCGUUUUUUGUUCUAAUAGUGUCCUUUCUUGUAAAAAUAGUGUAAAAUUUAUGUUUGUUUUACUUGUGACUGCUGCGUGUAUGUUAUGUACCUGUGAUGCUGCUGCAAGUAAGUUUUUCACUGCAUCUGUGUAUACAUGUACUUGUGCAUAUGACAAUAAACUUG